rnacentral:rRNA from 1 species
AUGACUAAACUGAAGAGAGUAGGUGGCAUCGGUUUUAGAGAUAUGCAUCUAUUUAACCGAGCGUUGUUGACUAGGCAAGGAUGGAGGAUCCUCCAAAAGCCAGAGAGCUUGUGUGUAAGAGUGCUAAAAUCCAAAUAUUACCCACAUGGAGACAUCUAG